rnacentral:pre_miRNA from 1 species
CUUGGCACUGGUGGAGUUCUCUGUGUGUGUUGUAAUGGAAGGAUCACAGAAUUCCCCAGUACCAAGGG